AUGGAGUUCCUGCUCACGCUGUGGCCACCAUCAUCGGCAAUUAACACAAAGCAAUGGGUACCUAACAUACAGACACCCCUUUCCAGAUCAUACACUUGUUAUCGCUCUUCUUUCUUUGUACUACUUCAAGACAGACAGGAGAUGAGUAAAAAUUCAUAACCAAGAAAGUGGUGCUGCUUUUGGCCGUCAUAUUCCAUACCUCCUAUUAUCUCAUUAUUGGUCCCCAAAUUUUUCUCUGCUUAUUUUUCUCCAGUACCCCUGAAAGUAGAAGAUAAAUGGACCAUAACCUUCAAACUGAAACUUCUUCCCACUAUACAGAGCCAUCCCCACCUAUAUAAAUAAUAAUGAACUGCAGCUGAAAACAUCGUAACAGUGUAGUAAAAGUGUACUUCUCAUUCUACACAGUAGUCUCACAUGGGAAGAAGGAAGAAGAGGAAAGGAAAUAAGGAGAAGGCAUAUGUGCCUUUUAAAAUCUCUGACCUAGAUGUGACACACUCAAAAUCCAUUGAUAACUGAUUAUUUGGCCAUACCCAAAUACAAGGGCUGGGAGAGGACUGGAGAUUAUAAUUCCUGAUUGGGUAGCAGCAUUACAGCAACAAAGGUACAGUAAAGAGUCUAUAAUGUAGAUUCCACACCAUGAACAGAAAAACAGAAUGUUGUUUAAAUGUUAACAUCAAU
rnacentral:lncRNA from 1 species